CUACGGGUCGCUGCAGUGGGGAAUCUUAGACAAUGGGGGAAACCCUGAUCUAGCCAUGCCGCGUGAGCGACGACGGCCCUAGGGUUGUAAAGCUCUUUCAGCAGGGAAGAUAAUGACGGUACCUGCAGAAGAAGUCCCGGCUAACUCCGUGCCAGCAGCCGCGGUAAUACGGAGGGGACUAGCGUUGUUCGGAAUUACUGGGCGUAAAGCGCGCGUAGGCGGAUUGUUAAGUCGGGGGUGAAAUCCCGGGGCUCAACCCCGGAACUGCCCUCGAUACUGGCAGUCUUGAGUUCGAGAGAGGUGAGUGGAAUUCCGAGUGUAGAGGUGAAAUUCGUAGAUAUUCGGAGGAACACCAGUGGCGAAGGCGGCUCACUGGCUCGAUACUGACGCUGAGGUGCGAAAGCGUGGGGAGCAAACAGGAUUAGAUACCCCAGUAGUC
rnacentral:rRNA from 1 species